GUAAGCAUCCCCUGUCGACUGGUCACACCUGCCAUGAGUCCUAUAUCUUGAUCAGAUAAACAGAGCUAUCCGUAGUUAAAAUUAGUGUGCCGAGAACGGCCUAACAAUCGGUAUGAAACAAGGCAGACCGCAUUUGACCCAGUGAUAGGUUGUAUUGGCAAACUAGAUUGUUAUAACGAUCAUAGAAUUUGCAAAAUGCUGACUUUAAACGAGACUGUUGAAACCCCUGUAUCAUCAACUUGUUUGUCAGUAGCUUGCCUCGAUUUAAAAAAGGAUCAUACACAGAACAAGAUCUUGCGUAUCGAAUCAAUUGAGAGAGAUAAACACCAAAUGCAAGUGAUAAUGAAAUAUUGCUACAUAGGUAUGGGAAGUUGACGAUGGAGAACCUGAAAUUAUUCCGUUUGUCAUUUUGUUGAAUUGUUAGUUUGCCGUUAAUAUCUACUUUUAAUAAGAUAUCUAAGUAUGAAGCAGGAGUGGACGACUCUGGGAUGUCUUAUUUCGAGUCAACAGGGAUAUAUCGAAUCGACAUAUGAGUGAAAAUUAUAUUUGUUAAUAGAUAAAACGUCGUCGAUAUAUUUAAAUGUCGAAUUGAAGGCCUUAGCAAGAUAUUUUUUCUUCUCACGUAGAAGUUUAUGAAUAACGUCUGCUUCAUAAGAAUAUAAAAACAGGUCAGCUAACAAUGGAACACAAUUCGUCCCCAUGGGAAUGAGGAACUCCAGCAUAUUUUUAUUUCAACUUCAGAGUACUUGUACGUGGAAUCAGAGUGGUGUUUAAGUAAUUAUUGUGGAUGACUGAUCACUAGAUAUGAAUAUUUCGUUUUCCAUUUUUGUUUAAGAAGCAACUGUCUGUGAUGUCAAAAAGUUUUUGAUUCAUCGUGAGGAAUGGUGUCGUAAAGUUUUGAAUAGUCAUAGGUUUUGAUGUUGUUGAUUCGAGAAAAGUUUUGCGAUUUGAAAUUUACAAAACAUUCUUCAGACAUCACUUCUGGCGUAUGUAGUCGCACAGUACGUUUGAAGUUUCUCCUUCACAGCUGUUAAUAUUUUUGUGAGGAGCAAAGAUAGGGCUUGGUAGAACAUUUAUUGGAUCCAGCAGUGUAUCUUUAUUUGUAAGGAUUUUUAUGAAGUUUAGGAAUCCAGUAUAGGUACGGUAACUCAUAUUCAUCCGACCCAUUGACUGGGAUAUAAAAUGUGUCUAAAAAUGAAGCAUGGUUUUAAAGAAAUUCAUCUUUUGAAAGGGCAGUUGGAAUAUAAGUACGAUCACCAAAAGUGGAAGAGUUUUUAAAAACUACAUAACUGCAUGUCAGAUAUAAAGGAAUAAGAAUGGGACUGCAACAAUACAGCACAAUGAAAUGAAAUUCAAUGACAGUAUGACUUAAGAUCAUUAUGAAAAUGAAACCCUAUAAUAUUAAGAUCAAUAACUAAAGUUUCAUGUGUUUGCUUUUUUUUUUUUUUUUUUAAUUAUCAUUAUUAUCUAGAGUAAUAUGCAGAGUCUUAGAAAUGAACGAAAUAAAGUAUUAAUAAGAUUUAGAAAUUUGCACUACGAACGGUCAUUGAGAAAAACACGUGUACUGGAUAAAAAGUUUAAAAGUCAGGGAGAGCACCUUUUUAGAAGUAGGUUUUUAACAGUUUUAAAAAACGUUUAUGUUUUUGGCAGCUGUAAUACUGAUUUUUAGAAAUAUUGUGAUCACUGGACUUUUUGUAAGUGGCAUGCGCUUCUCGUAAAAGGAAACAAAACUGAAAAUAACUAUAAAUAGUUCAUCAAAUUUUUUCUCUCUGUCACAUUCUAUUCUUAAACAUGAACUCUAUGUUUAAAUCUGUGUUGCAUCAUUAAAAGAAAAUUGUGUCGCGCCUUUGUGAGAUUAUUAUACAAAUACACCAAAAUUAAUCCAAGUGAUUGCAUAUGUACUGGUCAGCUUAGAGAUGACGACGCACUACCUUCUUCGGAACCGAGGUUAAAAUACUUUAAUUUUGUUAUUGGAAAUUAAAACACAAGGCUUCAUUUAGCGAGACACAAGAAUUAAAAUGAUGCUGCCGUUUGGGAGAGGAUUCAACAUGAUAUAUAUACUUCUCUUGCUUUUAAUCAUGCUGCCAACUGGAUCAUUUUCCCCAAUAUUUUCACGUAUUGAAAACAAUUCAAAUUCUAAAUUAGUUGUUUAUAUGUCCCAACACAAUUGUAAUAAUGUUAGAAACGAAACAAUGACAUAUUGUUUUCGGUAUUUACCAAGGAAGAAUAAAAGGAAUAGAGAUGCAUGUCUGCGAAAGGCGAAUGAGGAACAAAGGAAGUGCUUUGAGAGAAUGCCAUUAAAAAAAUGAUGUUUGAUUGCUUUCAAUUAGUUCUUAUCAUUUCUUUUUUUACUUGUAAGAAAGAUGGUACCCGUGUGUAAGAGAUUUGAAAUGAAUGUAGUCCAAUAUACUUCAUCUUAUCAUUAUUCCUCAUUCGAAACAUGGGGAAACUAGUCAGUGAUAUUGUUAUUUGUGUAAAUUAUUUAUAUUGGAAUCAGGACCGAUGUGUUGUUAACUGGUGCAAUGAUAGGACAAUAUUUCAUUAUUUCCUGAUCCCCUCGCCUUUGUUUGUGAACCUCUAUUUCCGUCAUUUGUUUCCUUUAAUAAAUGAGAGAUUUUAUCUUCA